GCGGGUAUAGUUUAGUGGUAAAAUGUAUCGUUGCCAACGAUAAGAUGGGAGUUCGAUUCUCCCUACCCGCA
rfam:Parcubacteria bacterium C7867-002 C7867_00315, whole genome shotgun sequence.